rnacentral:tRNA from 1 species
GAGGUCUUAGCUUAAGUUAAAGCGCCUGAGUUGCAAUCAGGAGUUGGAAAUUAGAGUUUUGCAGACCUU